rnacentral:rRNA from 1 species
GACGAAGGAUGCAAGCGUUAUCCGGAUUCAUUGGGUUUAAAGGGAGCGUAGGUGGCCUUAUAAGUCAGUGGUGAAAUCUCUGGGCUUAACCCAGAAAUUGCCAUUGAUACUGUAGGGCUUGAGUAUAGUUCCGUUGGCGGAAUAUGACAUGUAGUGGUGAAAUACAUAGAGAUGUCAUAGAACACCGAUUGCGAAGGCAGCUAACGAAACUAUAACUGACACUGAGGCUCGAAAAGUGCGGGGAUCAAACAGG